GACAGAGGGUGCUAGCGUUGUUCGGAAUUACUGGGCGUAAAGGGCGCGUAGGCGGUCCGCUAAGUUCGGCGUGAAAUCCCCUGGCUCAACUGGGGAACUGCGCUGGAUACUGGUGGACUCGAGUACCGGAGAGGAGAGUGGAAUUCCUGGUGUAGCGGUGAAAUGCGUAGAUAUCAGGAGGAACACCCGUGGCGAAGGCGGCUGACUGGAUCGCAACUGACACUGAGGAACGAAAGCUAGGGGAGCAAACAGG
rnacentral:rRNA from 1 species